UUUCACGUCAAGGGGAGCUGGAUGAGCCGGCUGAGAGAUAGAUCUGAAAUCUAUGACCCUUUUUAACCUGAUCUGGGUAAUGCCAGCGGAGGGAUGAGCGAUAGAGUCUUU
rnacentral:ncRNA from 2 species